GAUGAGCGCUGGCGGCGUGCCUAAUACAUGCAAGUCGAGCGAACGGACGAGAAGCUUGCUUCUCUGAUGUUAGCGGCGGACGGGUGAGUAACACGUGGAUAACCUACCUAUAAGACUGGGAUAACUUCGGGAAACCGGAGCUAAUACCGGAUAAUAUUUUGAACCGCAUGAUUCAAAAGUGAAAGACGGUCUUGCUGUCACUUAUAGAUGGAUCCGCGCUGCAUUAGCUAGUUGGUAAGGUAACGGCUUACCAAGGCAACGAUGCAUAGCCGACCUGAGAGGGUGAUCGGCCACACUGGAACUGAGACACGGUCCAGACUCCUACGGGAGGCAGCAGUAGGGAAUCUUCCGCAAUGGGCGAAAGCCUGACGGAGCAACGCCGCGUGAGUGAUGAAGGUCUUCGGAUCGUAAAACUCUGUUAUUAGGGAAGAACAUAUGUGUAAGUAACUGUGCACAUCUUGACGGUACCUAAUCAGAAAGCCACGGCUAACUACGUG
rnacentral:rRNA from 1 species